GAAAACAGCUGUCCACGCAACGAAAUCGCUGCGGAUUGGGUCACUUGUGACGUCGUUUACAGCCGGGAAACCAAGGGGCAUUAGCGUUCUAACACCACCGUUAACGAAGACAAAGUAGAGGAAGCCUCUUAAGCCCCGAAGCUUAGCUCGAACAGUACUGUUUUAGAUGCUACAGCAUCCCAUCCGACGUUCAUCGUCCAACUCGAACAAGUCGAUUGUUCCACUCGCGCGUAUCACUCGAUUGCAAACGAAUCACGUGAGAAGCAGAAUCGAACUUGUUUUCCAAUAACUGACAAUGUUGC
rnacentral:misc_RNA from 1 species